UGGGCGCCCCGGGGAUGGGCGCCCCGGGGAUGGGCGCUCCGGAGCUUUUGCUCUCCCACCUCCUCCUCCCCUCCGAGCCGCCCCCGCGCUCUCCGUGCCCCGCGGCGCCCCCCGGCGGGGCGGCCCCGCUCCCAGCCCCGCGGCUCCCCCCCGGCCGGGGCCGCUCCGCCGCUCUCCCCGCAGCCCCGCGCGGCUCGGCUCGGCUCGGCACGGCCCGGCCUCCCGCCUCCCAUUGGUCCGGGAUAGCGCCGAGGGCGGGGACGGCCGGGCCGCUAUUAAACAUCCCAUGGCAGCCCGCAAAAAGGGGCAGCGGCUCAUUGAGUGGCUCAGUUGCAAAGCGGUGCGGCGGCGGCGGCCGGCGGGCACCUUGGGAUUGGCUUGCUGCGUCCCCCCCCAGCUGCUGGAUCUUACGCCCUUUUAACUCUCUAAGCACCUCCGUUAAGGCCACCGGCAGGUCUCCUUCCAUGGAUAUUUCCACGUCCCUGGAAAGAUUCAGAAGAUGGCUGGUGCUGAUGACUGUCCAGAGGGAGCUUCUCAACAUGCUUUCAGAGAGGACCCUCACCACUGUGACUUCUCCUAAGCCCUUCUGUGAUGUCUCCUCCUGUGGCAGCCUGGGACAAUGCAAGGUGCGACCCCCAGCCCUAGCAGCCAGGCCAGCAGGCUCUUGGUGUCUCGGUCCCUCGCUCACUACAAAGGAAGGACAGCAACAAUGA
ensembl:lncRNA